AGGUUGACCUCGGAUCAGGUAGGGAUACCCGCUGAACUUAAGCAUAUCAAUAAGCGGAGGAAAAGAAACCAACAGGGAUUGCCCCAGUAACGGCGAGUGAAGCGGCAAGAGCUCAAAUUUGAAAUCUGGCCUCCCCCGGGGGCCCGAGUUGUAAUUUGCAGAGGAUGCUUCGGGUGCGGCCGCCGUCUAAGUUCCUUGGAACAGGACGUCA
rnacentral:rRNA from 1 species